rnacentral:lncRNA from 1 species
UGGGAGAGCCUUAAUGGUUAUUAUUGUCCCUUCUUGUGAUGAAUUUUUUUUGGAGGCACUCUAAUGCUGUUUGUGGAACAGUGUUAAUAUUUUAGUAGUUGCCCGUUGUUCCCUUAAGUGGAAAGGCUUUGUUGGUUAUUAUUAUGCUUUCAAUUUUUGUUUAGCUCUGGGUUAUGAUUUUUACAAUCUUCGAUUGUGAAUAGAUACCAUGCAUUUUGCUGAAUUUUUUUGUCAUCCUGAAGAAUGUCUUCAUGAUUGUCACGCAGUGUUGUGAUUUCUUAGCAAGGCUGGUUAGGUUUUUCUAGUUCCCCUGAGCGAAAGGCCUAUUGGUUCAUUAUUUUCUCUUUUAUUUCUUUGAUACCAGGAUUUUUUUCCGAUGGUUUGUACUAUGCAUUUUAUUUUACUGAAAUAUUUGUUUGUGCCAUGGCCCUUCGGAUUUUUCAGAAAAAAAAUUUGUUCAAGGAUAUCACCCAGCCCCCGGCAGUUGAAGGAUAUUUACCUGCCCCCAUCCGAAGGAAUAUACUUUUAGCUGUUUCGUUUCUUGCUCUUGUUUUUCUGCUCUCCUGUUUAUGUUAAUAUUUUGUCUGGUCAUGGCAAAUAAUAGUUCCUCUCUUAUGCAGAAUUAUUACACCCACGGGACAAGUCUAGGCAGGAGGCACUGCGCCUGAGGGUACGCUUCAUACGAUUACCUAAACUAGAAUAAAAAAUACAUCAGUCAUGGAUCUUUAGCUCUGAACUGGAAAGAGCGUCACAGCAAUUAACCGCUGCGACAGAUGGUUC